UGUUCUGUGGCGAAGUUGGUUAAUGCGCCCUGUUCAGCAAAUUGGGAAGACGUAGGUUCAAAUCCCACCAGAACUA
rnacentral:tRNA from 1 species